GAUGAACGCUGGCGGCGUGCCUAAUACAUGCAAGUCGAGCGAAUGGAUUAAGAGCUUGCUCUUAUGAAGUUAGCGGCGGACGGGUGAGUAACACGUGGGUAACCUGCCCAUAAGACUGGGAUAACUCCGGGAAACCGGGGCUAAUACCGGAUAACAUUUUGAACCGCAUGGUUCGAAAUUGAAAGGCGGCUUCGGCUGUCACUUAUGGAUGGACCCGCGUCGCAUUAGCUAGUUGGUGAGGUAACGGCUCACCGAGGCAACGAUGCGUAGCCGACCUGAGAGGGUGAUCGGCCACACUGGGACUGAGACACGGCCCAGACUCCUACGGGAGGUAGCAGUAGGGAAUCUUCCGCAAUGGACGAAAGUCUGACGGAGCAACGCCGCGUGAGUGAUGAAGGCUUUCGGGUCGUAAAACUCUGUUGUUAGGGAAGAACAAGUGCUAGUUGAAUAAGCUGGCACCUUGACGGUUCCUAACCAGAAAGCCACGGCUAACUACGUGCCAGCCGCCGCCGUAA
rnacentral:rRNA from 1 species